rnacentral:rRNA from 1 species
GAGAACGCUAGCGGCAGGCCUAACACAUGCAAGUCGAGGGGCAGCGGGGAUGAGCUUGCUCAUUUGCCGGCGACCGGCGCACGGGUGCGCAACGCGUAUAGAAUCUACCUUGUACUGGGGAAUAGCCCAGAGAAAUUUGGAUUAAGGCCCCAUGGUAUGUGGGAGCGGCAUCGCUCCCCCAUUAAAGGCUACGGUACAAGAUGACUAUGCGUCCCAUUAGUUAGUUGGUAAGGUAACGGCUUACCAAGGCAGCGAUGGGUAGGGGCCCUGAGAGGGGGAUCCCCCACACUGGUACUGAGACACGGACCAGACUCCUACGGGAGGCAGCAGUGAGGAAUAUUGGACAAUGGGCGGGAGCCUGAUCCAGCCAUGCCGCGUGCAGGAAGACGGUCCUAUGGAUUGUAAACUGCUUUUGUACGGGAAGAACAAGGGGCACGUGUGCCCCUCUGACGGUACCGUAAGAAUAAGGAUCGGCUAACUCCGUGCCAGCAGCCGCGGUAAUACGGAGGAUCCGAGCGUUAUCCGGAAUCAUUGGGUUUAAAGGGUCCGUAGGCGGGCCAUUAAGUCAGGGGUGAAAGUCUGCAGCUCAACUGUAGAAUUGCCCUUGAUACUGGUGGCCUUGAGUUAUAGUGAAGUAACUAGAAUAUGUAGUGUAGCGGUGAAAUGCAUAGAUAUUACAUAGAAUACCGAUUGCGAAGGCAGGUUACUAACUAUAUACUGACGCUGAUGGACGAAAGCGUGGGGAGCGAACAGGAUUAGAUACCCUGGUAGUCCACGCCGUAAACGAUGGAUACUAGCUGUCCGGAUGCAAAUCUGGGCGGCCAAGCGAAAGUGAUAAGUAUCCCACUGGG